rnacentral:rRNA from 1 species
CUACGGGUGGCUCCAGUGAGGAAUAUUGCACAAUGGGGGGAACCCUGAUGCAGCAACGCCGCGUGGAGGAUGACGCAUUUCGGUGUGUAAACUCCUUUUAUAUGUCAAGAAAAUGACGGUAGCAUAUGAAUAAGCACCGGCUAACUCCGUGCCAGCAGCCGCGAUAAUACGGAGGGUGCAAGCGUUACUCGGAAUCACUGGGCGUAAGGGACGCGUAGGCGGGUUGGAAAGUCAGGUGUGAAAUCCUACAGCUUAACUGUAGAACUGCACUUGAAACUUCUAAUCUAGAGUAUGGGAGGGGGAGAUGGAAUUAGUGGUGUAGGGGUAAAAUCCGUAGAUAUCACUAGGAAUACCUAAAGCGAAGGCGAUCUCCUGGAACAUUACUGACGCUAAGGCGUGAAAGCGUGGGGAGCAAACAGGAUUAGAUACCCUAGUAGUC